GGUUUAAGCCAUACCAUAAAGGAAUAUAUUUUUAAGAGGUUGCUAAAAUGUGGGCAUCUAAGAGUGGACUAGAGAGGCAAACUAAUCGCUUCUCAUAUUAUUGCGUACAAACCUAAGAUCAAAUGUGGUGUGGUCUGAGUCUGACUAUACUGUGUAUCUCAUAGAGCUUACAGUUUCAAGGGUAACUGUGUGAAAGUGCAGAAGCUGAAGAGUGAGGCUUGAUUGCUGGGGUCCUCCCAGUAGAGGGCAGUUCUAGAGAUAUUGUGGCCAGGUCAGCUUAUUGGCUGCUAAAGUAAGUAAAAUAAAGGGAGGAGCCUAAAGCAAAUGAUUAAAGAAAAGACUGACACUGGAGCUGGUUGUAGUGGAAAAGAAAGAGUUCGGAGGAGUGAUAGAAUUCUCUCCUCAUCUCUUAGUUUUUCACAACUUGGAGGCUGGCAAUGCCAAAACAUGCCUGGUUUCUUUUAUUGAACACGUUUGUCUUCAUCUUUUUUAUAUUUUUCCAUCUUUUAUUGUUUAUUUUUAUCUACUAAUGCAAUUAUUUAUGCCUUAUUGGUCUCAUUUACAGCCUUGCCACCCCUGAACACACCUAAUCUCGGAAAAACAGCAGGACUGAGUCUGGAUUUUUCUUGGAUGGGAGUCUGCCUGGAACUACCUGGUGCUAGUCCACAAGCAUCUCAAGUGGACUCCAGCAACAGCCGGUACUCCUCUCCCUUCAGGAAGUCUGCCCACCUCACAGGAUCUUCAUGAAGUCUGAAGUACUGCAGCUGAAAGAGAAGUGCACGGUGGAAAGAUGCACACUGUGCUUUAGAGCAGACACCAGCAAUGCACAACUUUCAGUGCUGUGUAUGAUAGAAGAGUGUUACUUCCUGGACUGUUCCUGGCUGGGAUGAAGCUGUAAAUGUCUCUGCAUGUGUGUUUUAUUGGGAAAUAUGCUUGCCCUGGCUACAGUAAAAUAAUUAUGUUUCCUGCUCAGUGAUAAAUGUAGCUAGACUUUGAUUUACCUCCUGUAGCUGCCCUUAUUGUAUUCCCAACCUCUGUUCCCCAUACAGUAUAUCUCUCUUUCCCCUCUCUCUUUCUCUCACACACAAACACACACUCACAUAUAAAAUGUUGAAUUUCCCCAGAGAGCAAUUAUGGGGGAGUUCCACAGUAUGCAGUUGCGUUAUUAAUCUCCUCAUAGCAUUGCUGUGACAUAACAGCAGUGCCUGCGCUUAUUUACAGAACAAGUCCUGGUCAUUGAGUUUGACUGCAUCGAAUAAUUACACCAACAAAUAUGCUGACAUAUCAAGUCUUACAAGCUCAACAUGUGAGCUGGCUUGUUAGAGAGGUAAAGAAAAGGGAAGUGAGAGCUCUGGAGUGGUUUAUUCAGCUGUCACUGUAACUCACAUGUUGAAGCUGUGAUAUAGAGGUAUUUAAUAAAGGAACAUGGACAGGAG